AAUUGGCUGCGUUAGUGAUUGAAGUGGCAUCCUUUUUUGUGUUUUUAUUAACAAAAAAGAUACAACGGAAAGCGCGACCUUUU
rnacentral:sRNA from 1 species